rnacentral:tRNA from 1 species
GCCCGUUUGGCUCAGUGGAUAGAGCAUCAGGCUAUGGACUGAAGGGUCCUGGGUUCGAUUCCAGUCAAGGGCA